rnacentral:lncRNA from 1 species
GCCGCUGUUCUAUCUAUUGUUUCACCACUCAUUUGGCCCUUUCCGCCGGUCGGCCAUGGAAUAAAUUUUUGUAGUCUUAACCGAUUUUGAGAAGUGUGACUCAGUCUCGCUGGACCUCUUAAGUGAAUCGAUAUCCUAUUUUGUUAAGGCAAUUGUUCUUCCAAAAGUUUGAUUUCAGAUAUGCAGAAAACGUACUCAUCCAUUAGAAUUUAACAAAGUACAAGCCAACAAAAAAGACACCGAGAAUACUAUUUACAUAGAUACACUUCAUUGUCAACAAUUUGCAGAGUCUAAAAGCUUCAAACAGUCCGAGGAUGACACAAUUUGCAUCAGUAAGCCGCUUCACAUUUGAACCUGAUGAAGGACAAGAAGGACAUGGUGGAAAACACCGUCAAGACUGGCAAUUCAUAUGCAUAAUAAUCUGAGAGACAGCAGAAUCGAAUCAAAUUCAGAGAACUCUGACAAAAGAUGAAAACAACCAGAGCCGUGUCAGAAAAUAGAAGUCUCAGACAUCCAAGGAAGGAUAAAAGCAGCAUUGGCUCUCAAGCCCGGCGAAAGGCGAAAGCCCUUAGGCGGCCACUGCGAAUGUUUGAGAAACAAGCCUUUGGAUUUAUCAUCAUCGACGAACCGCAAACAUCAAACACAAGAAAUGCCCCCUUUCAACUUCUAGCAGAGAUUCAAAGGGAAAUUAGCUGAACAUCUGUCUUAAAAAGCUCGAUUUUUGUAUAUAAUCAUGUGAUUAACAUCAGCUGAAUAAUUGUAAUUCAUCAACUGCUCAGCGAAACAGCGGUUGGGAAAUAAUCAAAGGAGGUGUAUCAUCGUUUCUUGAACCUUUGAGCCACUGAUAAAAUAACACAGGUUCACCCAAUAACAAUGAACAUAGUGAUUUCCCUGGGGUUAACGAGAGAUCUGUUCACUAAGAUUGUAACAGAUCACUGCUUUUUGUCCACCAGGAUGAUGUUUAUAUAAAACGGAUAACAAAUAGGAUCAGAAGGCGGUCUCAGACAUCCAAGGAAGGAUAAAAACAGCACAAGCUCUCAAGCCCGGCGAAAGGCGAAAGCUCUUAGGCGGCCACUGCGAAUGUUUGAGAAACAAGCCUUUGGAUUUAUCAUCAUCGACUGAAGUAUAAACCUUGACCUGGAGACCCUUUCAAAUAUCUAAUGACCUUAUAUGCAGCCUUGAGAUGUGUAUCUGUUGGUUUAGCCUGAAACUGAGCCAGCUGCUGCACUGCAUAACAAAUGUCAGGUCGUGUAAUUGUGAUAUAGUGCAAUCUUCCAAUUAUCUGCCUGUAUUGAGUGAUGUCUUCCAGUGGAUUUCCCUCAUCUGCUUUCAGUUUUUCCUUAUAGUCAAGUGGGGUCUUUGUGGGUUUCCCAUCCAGUAGACCAGCUUCUGAGAUCAUCUCCAGGCAGUAUUUACGUUGACACAUGGAGAUUCCAUUCUUUGUUCUGGCAAUCUCAAGUCCUAGGAAGUAUUUCAAGGGCCCCAUGUCUUUCACCUUAAAGUGUUUCUGCAACUUUCCUUUGAUCUCUUCCAUCAGGGUGAGGUCAUUUCCAGCUAGGAUAAUAUCAUCUACAUAAACCAAUAAUACCAGCAUGGAAUUUCCUGAUGAGUAAUUGAAAAGUGAGUGAUCUGAGUCAGAUUGUUUAAAUCCUUCCUGCUUAAGCGCUUUGGUGAACUUGAUGAACCACAUUCUGCUUGCUUGCUUCAAACCAUACAAGGACUUUUGCAGCUUGCACACCUGUCUUCCAACUCCUUUGGUCUCAUAGCCCUUUGGUAUGUCCAUGUACACUUCCUCAUCCAAGUCUCCAUGAAGGAAUGCAUUGCUCACAUCCAUUUGGUGCAGAUGCCAAUCCUUCACGGCAGCUACAGCAAGCAGUGUUUUCACAGAAGUAAUCUUUGCCACUGGUGAGAACGUGUCUGUGAAAUCCACCCCAUACACUUGUGUGUACCCUUUUGCAACUAAGCGUGCCUUGUAUUUGUCUAUGCUUCCAUCUGGAUUAUACUUGAUCCGGUAUACCCACUUGCAUCCUACGGGCCUUACCCCUGACGGCUUAUCAGUAACUGUCCAUGUCCCAUUUGCCUCGAGAGCUUGCAUUUCCUCCAUCAUGGCUCUCCUCCAGUGGGGAGAUUUGACGGCUUCUUCAAAGGUUUGUGGCUCAGAUUCAAGAGAGAUGGACAAAGAAAAAACUCUGUGAGUUGGUGAAAGGAAAUCAUAACACAGAUACUUAUGCAUGGGAAAAGAUGAGUAUUCUUCAAUAAUAGGUUUUGUUGAACUGAGGAGAGAACAAUGGUAAUCUUCUAGAUAUUUUGGAGGUCUAGUGACUCGUGUUGGUCUUUUGCAGGGGAGAGUAGGAUUAAUGUAGGUAUGAGAUUGAGUAUGUUGAGGGGUAGGUGUGGAAUCUGUGUUGAUGGUCUUUGUUUGGGGAGUUUUUCUUGUGUUUGAAGGUGAUCUGGAAUCUGUAGUGAUGGUGAUGUCUGGUUGAGGAUGGUCACUUGAAUUUGCGGGAGGAAUAUUCAUAUCAACAUCAUCAGGAGGGGAGAGUGAGUCAAGGGUAAUGGGAAUUAUGGACUGGUCUGUAUUGGUGGUAGUUGUUGGGGAUAGAUCAGGCUCUCUAUAGGGAAGGAUCAUUUCAUGAAACACAACAUUCCUGGAAACAAUGACCUUUUGGUUAGCUAAGUCUAAUAGCUUGUAACCUUUUAUCCCAUUCUGGAAACCUAUGAACACACAGGGAGUGGAUCUGGGAGCAAAUUUGGUGCGGUUGUGGGACAAGGUGCUAGCAUAUGAUAGACAGCCAAAGAUACGUAAGUGAUCAUAAGACGGUUUGACAUUAUAUAGAGUUUCAUAUGGGGAAAGGUUAUUAAGAACAGGAGUUGGAAGUCUGUUGAUUAAGUAACAGGCAUGUAAGACACAGUCCCCCCAGAAUCUGAGAGACAAACCACUUUGGAAUCGUAGGGAACGAGCAACAGCUAAGAGAUGCUGAUGUUUGCGUUCAACUCGUCCAUUUUGGGGAGCGAUGGAAACACAACUUUGCUGAUGAAUAAUGCCAUGUGUAGCAAAGAAAGAGUCCAUUUUAAACUCUGCACCCUGAUCAGAUCGAAUGAUCUUAACAGAAACUGAGAAUUGAGUAGAUACCAUAGAACAAAAGGAUUUAACAAUCUCUCGAGUUUCACUUUUAUGUUUCAUGAGAAAUAUCCACACACAACGACUGAAAUCAUCAAGGAUAGUAAGAAAAUAACUAUGACCAUCAUGAGUAGGAGUAUGUAAUGGUCCCCAAAUAUCCAUAUGGACUAAUGAAAAAGGAGAAUCAGCUCUGGAAUGGCUCUUGUUAAAGGGAAGGGUUUUUUGUUUAGCAAGGUGGCAAGUAAUGCAGUGAGAAGAUGAAGGAAGGGUGAUGGAAGGUUGAGCCUGGUGGAUGAGUUGAAGUCUCCCUAGGGAUGGAUGCCCUAGUCUGCAAUGCCAAACAUCCAAAGAAUGAGGGUGAAGGUUAAAGACAGCUGCAGCAGCAAUGUUAGAAGAAAUGAGGGAAACAAAGGCAGUAGUGUGGAUGGCGGGUAAAAGGUAUAAACCUCUACUUUCUUGGGCUAAACCAAUCGUCUUCUGUGAGGGAAGGGCCUGAAUAUGACACUGAUGUGAUGAAAAAGCAACAGAAACAGGUGAUUGUUGCGUGAGGCAGCUAACAGAAAGAAGGUUGAAAGAAAAACAGGGAAUGUAUAACACAUUAUGCAAAGACAGGCCACAUGGCAAUAUUACCAACCCAGAAUGAGUAGCAAGAACACUUUUGCCAGUAGGUAAGGUGACAGGAAUGGGAGAAAUGACAUUCAGAUGAGAGAAUAGGUGAGAUGAACAGGCAAUAUGACUACUAGCUCCUGUAUCCACUAUCCAGUAACUAGAAAGGGGUUGAGAUGUAAGAGUGGAAAGGGAGUAGGUACCUGAUGAUGUAGAUGAUGCAGGAAUGGUGGUGGUGAUUAGGUUGGCAUAAGUGGCUUGGGAUUGAGGCUGUGGCAUGGCUGUUUGCUGGAGGAGUAUUCGAAGUCGUGCAAGCUCUGAGGAGGACAAGGACAUGGACGUAUCUGAUGAACUUUCAGAAGCAGAACGAUAGUCUGGAGUUGAGUAACCAUGGGAAGACUGACAGUCAUUAUCAAGGCUAUGGUGAACAUCACCAGAAGCAGCACCAGCAAAUCGAUUGAAACCAUUUCCACCACCAUUACUCGCUUCACGAGCCUUUUUGUUCUUUAAUUUCAUACAUGUUUCAAUGUUAUGAUUGUCCUUCUUACAAUAUCUACAAAAUAGAGGCUGUUUUUCACCAGAAUCUCUAUUUCUUCCAUUUCCAGCAUAGUUAGUUGCAGCAAGAGCAAUAGAAUCUACAGAUCUAACCACAUUUCCUUUCAUCUGACGUUCCAUCUGAACAGCGAAUUUGAAUGCAGUAUUAAUGUCAGGCAAAGGAUCCAUUAACAGCAACUGAGAUCGUACUACAUCAUAGCUUUCAUUCAAUCCUCGAAUGAAACGGAUCACAUGAUCUUGCUCUUGAUACAGCAGCAUUUUAGAGAUGACUUUGCAAGUCGAAACUCGAUUAGGAUUGCAUUCACACAGAGGAAUUGGUCUAUAUUGAACGUAUUCCUCCCAUAGAACCUUAAGAUUGGUGAAAUACUGAGUAAUCGUUGUCUGACCUUGAUCACAGGAUGCAAUCCGUGAUUGCAAAUCAGCGAUUCGGAUUGCGUCGCACUGGCGGAAUCGUUGAUUGAGAUCGUUCCAAGCAGCUGCUGCAUUAUCAUAAGAAAUAAGACUCUGCGCGAUGUCUUCUGACACAGAGUUCAGAAUCCAGUUCAGAACUGCGAAGUUGCAUCGGAUCCAAGCUUGAUAUGAGGCAUCCUGAACUUCUGGAGCUGGAUAUGAUCCAUCAAUGAAGCUUAGCUUGUUUUUGAUACUCAGGGCUACAUUCAUGGAUCUGCUCCACACAUGAAAGUUAUCAUUUGUCAACUUUACUCCGACGAUCGGAGAUGAGAGAUUAUCGCUGGGAGACAAGAACAACGGAUUCGCGAAGUGAUCGGUGUAGUUUGAAGGAUGAGCAGAACUGAGUGUAGAAAGGAUUGAUGAUGAUUGUGUUGAUGAAGUCAUGACGAAAUCAGCUCAACAAUGGAGGCUCUGAUACCAUGUGAAGUUUGAUGAAUGGAAGAGAAGAGAAGAACAGAGAAAGCGAAGAAGAAGGAGAAGCUGUAAUGGAAAGUCGUUUUCUGUUAUUACUGUACUGAAUGAAUUAAAUGUACAAACAGAAAGGAGAAUUCUAUUUAUACCACUACUACUAUUAUCUAUUACAACUCACUCACAUACUUAUAAUUUAACACCAUUUAACAUAGGCGGCCACUGCGAAUGUUCUUGAGAAACAAGCCUUAAGAGUUGUAUCAUCAUUGACCGAGUUUCAAAACUUAAUUGAAAUCUGGCGAAGUCAGACAAUAUUAUGCCUCAAAAUGGUGAGUUCAACACGGAUAAAGAAACCUUUUAUCCGUUCACACAUCUAAUUGAAUCAUCACUCUUCGCCAACAGAUUAUUUGAAACGCAACAAGAACUGAAGCGAACCAGAUACAAAGUAAAGAGGGAAAACACAUCGCCGUAAGCUUACUGCGUAAAGAAGAAAGGAAAGCCAGGCAUUGAAAUUCUUAAGAGAUACCACGCCUGGAAGAGAUUGCGAACUAGCGCAUCUAUGAUUCAUAACAUCGGAACUGUGGAGCACGACAUUGAGUUCUGCGCUUAACCUGUUUAUAAAGAAGAAAACGCAUGAAAUCUCUAGAAUCCACAAGCCGCAGCAAAUGAAUUGAGAAGCCUAAAACCCUA